rnacentral:piRNA from 1 species
CCAGCCUAAAUCUCAAAAACAAAAGACUGG